GACGAACCGUGCGAACGUUGUUCGGAAUCACUGGGCUUAAAGGGCGCGUAGGCGGGCGGUCAAGUCUGUGGUGAAAUCUCCUCGCUUAACGAGGAAACUGCCAUUGAUACUGUUGGGCUUGAGUACAGAUGCUGUGGGCGGAAUAUGACAUGUAGUGGUGAAAUACAUAGAGAUGUCAUAGAACACCGAUUGCGAAGGCAGCUCACAAAACUGUAACUGACGCUGAGGCACGAAAGUGCGGGGAUCAAACAGG
rnacentral:rRNA from 1 species